rnacentral:rRNA from 1 species
AAGUCGAGCGAAUGGAUUGAGAGCUUGCUCUCAAGAAGUUAGCGGCGGACGGGUGAGUAACACGUGGGUAACCUGCCCAUAAGACUGGGAUAACUCCGGGAAACCGGGGCUAAUACCGGAUAACAUUUUGAACUGCAUGGUUCGAAAUUGAAAGGCGGCUUCGGCUGUCACUUAUGGAUGGACCCGCGUCGCAUUAGCUAGUUGGUGAGGUAACGGCUCACCAAGGCAACGAUGCGUAGCCGACCUGAGAGGGUGAUCGGCCACACUGGGACUGAGACACGGCCCAGACUCCUACGGGAGGCAGCAGUAGGGAAUCUUCCGCAAUGGACGAAAGUCUGACGGAGCAACGCCGCGUGAGUGAUGAAGGCUUUCGGGUCGUAAAACUCUGUUGUUAGGGAAGAACAAGUGCUAGUUGAAUAAGCUGGCACCUUGACGGUACCUAACCAGAAAGCCACGGCUAACUACGUGCCAGCAGCCGCGGUAAUACGUAGGUGGCAAGCGUUAUCCGGAAUUAUUGGGCGUAAAGCGCGCGCAGGUGGUUUCUUAAGUCUGAUGUGAAAGCCCACGGCUCAACCGUGGAGGGUCAUUGGAAACUGGGAGACUUGAGUGCAGAAGAGGAAAGUGGAAUUCCAUGUGUAGCGGUGAAAUGCGUACGAGAUAGUGGAGGAA